GAAAUGCGAUACGUAGUGUGAAUUGCAGAAUUCCGUGAACCAUCGAAUCUUUGAACGCAUAUUGCGCCUGUCGCCUUCGGGCAAGGGCAUGUCUGCCUCAGCGUCUUUUCCACCCCUCUCCCCCUUCACAGGAGGAGGAUGUGGCCCUGUGCUGCUCCAGCACUUGGCCGAAAACCAGUGGCGCGCACGGGACCGCUUAUGCGGGCUUCAGCUUGGUAGGCCUUCUCCCCGCAAGGGGGCAAAGCAUGCCGCUGUUGCUCGUGGACCCAUGUGCUGUCAAGCAGGGAAACCUUUCAAUUUAGACCUGAGGUCAGGCAAGACUACCCGCUGAACUUAA
rnacentral:misc_RNA from 1 species